rnacentral:rRNA from 1 species
AUUGAACGCUGGCGGCAGGCUUAACACAUGCAAGUCGAGCGAGCGGCAGACGGGUGAGUAAUGUCUGGGACACUGCCUGAUGGAGGGGGAUAAAUACGGGAAACGGUAGCUAACAGCACAUACCAGCAGAAGUGCCCAGAUGGGUUUAGCUAGUAGGUGGGGUAAUGGCUCACCUAGGCGACGAUCCCGAGCUGGUCUGAGAGGAUGACCAGCCACACUGGAACUGAGACACGGUCCAGACUCCGACGGGAGGCAGCAGUGGGGAAUAUUGCACAAUGGGCGCAAGCCUGAUGCAGCCAUGCCGCGUGUGUGAAGAAGGCCUUCGGGUUGUAAAGUACUUUCAGUGAGGAGGCGUUACUCGCAGAAGAAGCACCGGCUAACUCCGUGCCAGCAGCCGCGGUAAUAC